rnacentral:sRNA from 1 species
UAAGAAGUUUUAUUCUGAAUCUGAGGAAGAGGAGGACUCUUCUGAUAGUAGCAGUGACAGUGAGAGUGAAUCUGGAAGUGAAAGUGGAGAACAAGGCGAAAGUGGGGAGGAAGGAGACAGCAAUGAGGACAGCAGUGAGGACUCCUCCAGUGAGCAGGACAGUGAGAGUGGAAGGGGGUCAGGCCUAGAAAACAAAAGAACAGCCAAGAGGAACUCAAAAGCCAAAGGAAAAAGUGAUUCUGAAGAUGGGGAGAAGGAAAAUGAAAAAUCUAAAACUUCAGAUUCUUCAAAUGACGAAUCUAGUUCAAUAGAAGACAGUUCUUCCGAUUCUGAAUCAGAGUCAGAACCUGAAAGUGAAUCUGAAUCCAGAAGAGUCACUAAGGAGAAAGAAAAGAAAACAAAGCAAGAUAGAACUCCUCUUACCAAAGAUGUUUCACUUCUAGAUCUGGAUGAUUUUAACCCAGUAUCCACUCCAGUUGCACUUCCCACACCAGCUCUUUCUCCAAGUUUGAUGGCUGAUCUUGAAGGUUUAAACUUGUCAACUUCCUCUUCAGUCAUCAGUGUAAGUUGUUUUUAAAAUCCACCAGCUCGGUUUUCUUAUGUUGCCAUUGUAUCUUUUUUAUUAAAAUGUAAAUACUUGAAGUGGAUUCUUAGUUUUGAACAGAUUCUUCUCUAAGAACAAGCCCAAUUUAGCUAAGACCUUUUAAUUUUUUAAAUAAUUUACUCAAACCAUUAUCUUCUCAAUAUUUUUCCCUUGUUGUCCACACUUAAUUAUCAUCUGUAUGUUUUUCUCUGGUAUUGUUAUAUAUCUGUAACAUACAAAGGUUCUUCACCACAUUGACGCAGUACAUAUACCUGAACUGUGCCACAAAAAGUUGUCUACAUUAACAGACUUUCAUUUCCGUAAUCGUUUUAUUCCUACCACACUAUUUUUUCAUAGACUUAAAAAUUCAUGACUGUUUUUAUUUAAAA